UACAGGGGAUACAAGCGUUACUCGGAAUUACUGGGCGUAAAGCGUCUGUAGGUUCUUCGGAAAGUCUGAGGUAAAAGCUCAGGGCUCAACCCUGACCACGUCUUAGAAACUUCCGAAGUGGAGCCAUGGAGAGGCAUCUGGAAUGUCGCAUGUAGGAGUAAAAUCCGUAGAUAUGCGAUGGAACGCCAAAAGCGAAGGCAGGAUGCUGGCCAUGUGCUGACACUGGGAGACGAAAGCGUGGGGAGCGAAGCGG
rnacentral:rRNA from 1 species